rnacentral:tRNA from 1 species
GCCUCUAUAGCUUAAUGGUAAAGCGCGCUCUGUUAAUAGCGUUAAUAGAUGUUCGAUUCAUCUUAGGGGCU